rnacentral:tRNA from 1 species
GGGAGUGUGGUGUAAAUGGUGAACACGUCUGGUUUAGACCCAGUUAAUGCAGGUUCAAGUCCUGCCAACCCCA